AGUUGAGACCACUGACCCUUCAACUGGGUCUGCAUGGGUGCCUGAGAGGUGGCCUUUUGAUAUCAGAGGGUCAAAAACUCCACCCUCAAGAUCAUGCUAAUGUUGCCAUUUUCUGUACAUAUGUCCUGUGAACUGUUCGUCCACCUCAUCUCUUGGUGACCUAGUGUGUAAAUCUUUUCUCUUUUGCAGAAUCUAUGUCACAGUGAUUGAUUUACUGCAUAUGAGCAGAAUGAACCUGGACCUGGCCAGUAUCAUUAAGGCUGUGUUUCCCCUGAAGUUAUGUGAAAAGCAUUUGUGGAUUUAACAGAGUUAAGGGGUCUCACUUCAUCACCUAGACUGGAGUACAGUAGCACAGUUGCAGCUUCCUACAUCUUGACUUCCUGGGUUCCAGUGAUCCUCCCCCUUCAGCCUCUCAGGCAGAGAGAGAAAGAAAGCAGAGCUCUUUGAAGCAGAGAAAGAAAGCAGAAAGCAGAGAUCUUUGAAGGCUUAAGAAACCAUAAGGUUUCAUCAGUUCAGAAAGGCUGAUAACCUGGACUUUUUCUGCCAAAUUACUAUCAACAAAGGACAGCACUGAAUAACACAAAGUAUAUAUCUGAAGAAUUAGAAAAGCAGCAACAAAGCAUGGAGUUUUGGAGAGUCAAUGCAUGAUGAUCUCUGAAGAUUCUACUGAAAUCUAAUCAAUAUGUCCUCACUGCCAUCAAUUCAAAAGAACUUGCUAAGAAGGCUCUAGAGGCUUGUACUCUCAGAUAGUGAAAGUGAGAUGAUGUGUAGUGAAAGUCAUAUAUAGGUUGUAAAUUGCAAUAUGGAAUUCCCAAAUGCUGAAUUCAUUUUAUCUCUUCGGAAAUAAAAACCUGUUAAAGACUC
rnacentral:lncRNA from 1 species